rnacentral:misc_RNA from 1 species
UCCGGUUUGUCACCGGCAGUCCCCUUAGAGUCCCCGGCCGAACCGCUGGCAACUAAGGGCAAUGGUUGCGCUCGUUGCGGGACUUAACCCAACACUUCACAGCACGAGCUGACGACAGCCAUGCAGCACCUGUGCAAGACUCCGAUUGGAUACGGUCGCCCCGGCUUUCACCGGGACUACUUCAAGCAUGUCAAGCCUAGGUAAGGUUCCUCGCGUAGCCUCGAAUUAAACCACAUGCUCCACCGCUUGUGCGGGUCCCCGUCAAUUCCUUUGAGUUUCAGUCUUGCGACCGUACUCCCCAGGUGGUAGAUUUAAUGCGUUAGCUACGGCAAUGAUGGGAUCGACUCCCCCAUCGCCUAAUCUACAUCGUUUACGGCUGGGACUAC